CGGUGGAGCACGUGGUUAAUUCGAUGCAACGCGAGAACUUACCUGGUCUUGACAUCCCGGAGACCCUUAGGAAACUAGGGGUGCUUCCAUCUGGAAGAAUCUGGAGACAGGUGCUGCAUGGCUGUCGUCAGCUCGUGUCGUGAGAUGUUGGGUUAAGUCCCGCAACGAGCGCAACCCUUGCCUUUAGUUGCCAGCAGUUCGGCUGGGCACUCUAAAGGGACUGCCGGUGUUAAACCGGAGGAAGGUGGGGAUGACGUCAAGUCCUCAUGGCCUUUAUGACCAGGGCUACACACGUACUACAAUGGCCGAUACAAAGGGCAGCGACACUGCGAGGUGAAGCCAAUCCCGUAAAAUCGGUCUCAGUCCGGAUUGGAGUCUGCAACUCGACUCCAUGAAGUUGGAAUCGCUAGUAAUCGUGGAUCAGCAUGCCACGGUGAAUACGUUCCCGGGCCUU
rnacentral:rRNA from 1 species